rnacentral:lncRNA from 1 species
AUGCCCAAGAAAUCACCAGCAAUGACGUACCAACUUGCUGGUGCCUUGAACCGUACUCAAAAAAGCUAUAACAGUCACAACUGUUUUAUAGUCUUGGCUGUUGCAAUUCCAUUUAGAAUCAAUCAGGGAGAAGCAGACUCUCUCCCUGAACUCUCUCCCCAGAAAUACAGCAGAAUCAUCACAGAGCUGGAAAUGAACCUGGCCCAGUGGAAAGCCAAGAUUAUUACAGAAAGUAACUUCAGAAAAGACAAGUGGAUUGCCCAAGCUGGAAAUGGAUUUGACAACCCCUUUCCUCCCAAACUCUUCUGAUUCCCAAGCUCAAAGUUCUUUUCAGAAUUUAAUAUCAACACAGAAAUUUUAAAGAUUUUUAAAUGGCCCCUAUAUCCUUCCCAGUUCUUGUCAUUCUAUACUAAUAGUAAUCAUGGCUAACAUGUAUAUAGCACCGUAAGGUUUAAUAUCCACAUUUAAUAUACAUUAUGAGUCUCACAACAAAAUACUAUGAUGUAGGUAAAAUUAUUAUCCACAUUUUUAAGUGGAAGAAAUGGAAUCUCUGAGAAGGUGGAAGCCUUGAACAGGAUGGCAUGGCUGGCAGUGAUUAAGUAUCUGAGGCAGAAUUUGAUCCUAGUUCCUACUGACUACUACUCUGGAAUUCUUGAUGCCAUGCUGCCAAGGUUCUAAGGAACUCUCUACUUCAAACAUCCUUUGGGCUAUAAUCUAUGGUUUCCUGAUUCUCUCUUUGGGAGAUCCCAAACCUCUGGCACCUGCCUUACUUCCCCCAGGCUUCAACUGAGCCUUCUGGGCUUUGCUGGUGGCUCCCCCCAUCCUCGACCCCCUCUGGACAUACACUGCAAUGCAUGAGGGGGCAGCUAGCUAGCACAGUAAGUAGAUAAAGCACCAGGCCUAGAAUCAGAAGGACCUGGAUUCAAAUCAGACCUGACACUUCCUAGUCUAGUUGUGUGACCCUGAAACCUUAACCCUAAUUGCUAAGCCCUUGCUACUCUUCUGUCUUAGGAUUGAUACUAAGACAGAAGGUAAGGGUUUAAAAAGGGGAUGGAGGUUCGGGUAGGCAGCUCAGUGAUGGGAGAUCCUGGGUUCAAAUUUGAUCUCAGACACUUCCUAACUGUGUGGCCUAAUUGCCUAGCUCUUAUUGCUCUUCUGCUUUGGAACAGUUAUCAAUGCUAAGACAGAAGAAAGGGUUUGAAAAAAAAAAGUGCAAUUGACUCCAGGAGGGGGGAAUGGACACAACAUGAAUCAUGUAACCUUGGAAAAUGUAUGUGUAAAUUUAUUCCUGGGAUAAAAUAAAGAAAAAAUGGUUAAGUAUAAUACUAGCA